CCAGCCGCCAAGCGGUACUGGCAUUCCGUGGAGUGUGUCGACAGCGAUGUCUUGAGCUCAAAACAAGCCUUACCUAAAGCGGCAGGGUUUUUUGGAAGAUGUGUUAUAAAUAAAAAGCGAAAAAGGUUGACGACCACAGGGAAAUGGAAACUCAUAACUUAGGGAAGGGGUACGAAAAUGUUUUGUUGAAAAUUGAGCCCGGUUUGAUGGAAGCGAUGAUGGAAAACCUACUUAACAUGAGUUGGCGAAAAAGGCCUAUUGAAAAUGAUGACACAAAAGCUCUAUCUGUCCAAAAUACAAAUCUCAUUAUGAAACAAAAUAUAUUGAUGAGCUGUCAAAAAAUAUAAGCGUUUGCUAGCUACCACGUUACUACUGCAACUUAAGUCUGAUUCGGACUAUAUUAGUAAUUUAGUCAAGUCGCAAUUAAUUUAAUAACUAUACGUGUCUGAGCAACAAAAUUGAGUGAUGUAGUCGAAUCGAUCUGUUAUUGAAAAUUUUCGGGUGGUAACGAUUCUGAAUACGUUUGACUACAUUAUUCAUACACUAAACGAGUGAAACCCGUUAAUUUAGUCAAGUUCAUUAGUUGCCGCAAAAAUGUCAUGUUGAAGCGAAGAUACAACUUAGUUGCGAUAUAAUUACAACAUGAGUGAAUUAGAUUUAGUCGCCUAGUUCAUCUCUUAUUAUUAAUCCAUUCUUGUACUACAGUACCGUACCAUCUAUUUUGGUCGUUGAUUUUAAAAUUAUAGUUCUUUUUUUCAUUUAUCACUGCAUCUUUCAAGUAAGGAAAUUAAAUGAAUGUGAACUGUAAAAAAAUGGGGUUUAACUUUUAAACAAUCAUCCAUUUUUAAUGGGUCUAAUUAAGAAAUAGUACCACCUGCAUUUUGACC